CCUACGGGAGGCAGCAGUGGGGAAUAUUGCGCAAUGGGCGAAAGCCUGACGCAGCGACGCCGCGUGAGGGAUGACGGUCCUCGGAUCGUAAACCUCUGUCAGCAGGGAAGAACGGUCACUGUGCUAAUCAGCAGUGAAUUGACGGUACCUGCAAAGGAAGCACCGGCUAACUCCGUGCCAGCAGCCGCGGUAAUACGGAGGGUGCGAGCGUUAAUCGGAAUUACUGGGCGUAAAGCGCACGUAGGCGGUAUGUCAAGUCAAGGGUGAAAUCCCCGCGCUCAACGUGGGAACUGCCUGUGAAACUGGCAAACUGGAGUGUGGGAGAGGAUAGUGGAAUUCCAGGUGUAGGAGUGAAAGCCGUAGAUAUCUGGAGGAACAUCAGUGGCGGAGGCGACUAUCUGGCACAUAACUGACGCUGAGGAGCGAAAGCGUGGGUAGCAAACAGGAUUAGAUACCCCAGUAGUC
rnacentral:rRNA from 1 species